rnacentral:rRNA from 1 species
AGCGAACGCUGGCGGCAGGCUUAACACAUGCAAGUCGAGCGGGCAUCCUUGUGGUGUCAGCGGCAGACGGGUGAGUAACGCGUGGGAACGUGCCCUUCGGUUCGGAAUAACUCAGGGAAACUUGAGCUAAUACCGGAUACGUGCGAGAGCAGAAAGGUUUAUCUGCCGAAGGAUCGGCCCGCGUCUGAUUAGCUAGUUGGUGAGGUUACGGCUCACCAAGGCGACGAUCAGUAGCUGGUCUGAGAGGAUGAUCAGCCACACUGGGACUGAGACACGGCCCAGACUCCUACGGGAGGCAGCAGUGGGGAAUAUUGGACAAUGGGGGCAACCCUGAGCCAGCCAUGCCGCGUGAGUGAUGACGGCCCUAGGGUUGUAAAGCUCUUUUCUCCGGGACGAUAAUGACGGUACCGGAGGAAUAAGCCCCGGCUAACUUCGUG